rnacentral:rRNA from 1 species
AGAACGAACGCUGGCGGCAGGCCUAACACAUGCAAGUCGAGCGGAUCCUUCGGGAUUAGCGGCGGACGGGUGAGUAACGCGUGGGAACAUACCCUUUGGUACGGAAUAGCCUCGGGAAACUGAGAGUAAUACCGUAUGUGCCCUUCGGGGGAAAGAUUUAUCGCCAAAGGAUUGGCCCGCGUUGGAUUUAGGUAGUUGGUGGGGUAAUGGCCUACCAAGCCGACGAUCCAUAGCUGGUUUGAGAGGAUGAUCAGCCACACUGGGACUGAGACACGGCCCAGACUCCUACGGGAGGCAGCAGUGGGGAAUCUUAGACAAUGGGGGAAACCCUGGAUCUAGCCAUGCCGCGUGAUCGAUGAAGGCCUUAGGGUGUAAAGAUCUUUCAGUGGGAAGAGUAAUGACGGUACCACAGAAGAAGCCCGGCUAACUCCGUGCCAGCAGCCGAC